CCGCCGCCCCCGGGCCCCGCGCCCGCCCGCUGCUGCCUGGCCCGGCCGCGGCCCGGGCCCCGGCUCCCGCCCAGGGGGCCGCGGUCGCGCGGGACCCUCUGCACUCCAGCGUCGUCCGCCCGCCCGAGCCGAGCCCCGCAGGUCAGCACAGGAGCCCAGCCUCUGAGCCAUGCCGGGCCCCGGGCGGCCUGCAGCAAGCCCGACCCCUGCACCCACAUAGUCAUGAACAGCCACAGCCACAGCGGCUGCGGGGGGCGGCCACCGGGCAGUGGGCUGGGUGCCCUGGGCCGGGACCCUCUGGACCCCGAGGCUGGCCGCCCCCCGCAACCCCCGCAUGGCCCGGGCCUCCAGGUGGUGGUGGCCAAGAGCGAGCCGGCCCGGCCCUCUCCCGGCAGCCCCCGGGGGCAGCCCCAGGAGCAGGAGGAGGAGGAAGACGAGGAAGAGGAUGAGGCGGGCCGGCGCAGGGGCUCGGGGAAGCCUGUGAGUGUGGGCCACCGCCUGGGCCACCGGCGGGUGCUCUUCGAGAAGCGGAAGCGCCUCAGCGACUACGCCCUUAUCUUCGGCAUGUUCGGUAUUGUCGUCAUGGUGACCGAGACGGAAUUGUCUUGGGGCGUCUACACCAAGGAGUCCCUGUGCUCGUUUGCUCUCAAAUGCCUCAUCAGCCUCUCUACGGUCAUCCUGCUGGGCCUGGUCGUCCUCUACCACGCCCGGGAGAUCCAGCUGUUCAUGGUGGACAACGGGGCAGACGACUGGCGCAUCGCCAUGACGUGUGAGCGCGUCCUCCUCAUCUCGCUGGAGCUGGCUGUGUGCGCCAUCCACCCGGUGCCCGGCCACUACCGCUUCACGUGGACCACGCGCCUGGCCUUCACGUACGCGCCGUCGGCGGCCGAGGCCGACGUGGACGUGCUGCUGUCCGUGCCCAUGUUCCUGCGCCUCUACCUGCUGGGCCGCGUCAUGCUGCUGCACAGCAAGAUCUUCACGGACGCCUCCAGCCGCAGCAUCGGCGCCCUCAACAAGAUCACCUUCAACACGCGCUUCGUCAUGAAGACGCUCAUGACCAUCUGCCCGGGCACUGUGCUGCUCGUCUUCAGCAUCUCCUCCUGGAUCAUCGCCGCCUGGACCGUGCGGGUCUGUGAGAGGUACCACGACAGACAGGAAGUGACCAGCAACUUCCUGGGGGCCAUGUGGCUCAUCUCCAUCACCUUCCUCUCCAUCGGCUACGGUGACAUGGUGCCCCACACCUACUGUGGGAAGGGCGUGUGCCUGCUCACCGGCAUCAUGGGGGCCGGCUGCACGGCGCUCGUGGUGGCCGUGGUGGCCCGGAAGCUGGAGCUCACCAAGGCGGAGAAGCACGUGCACAACUUCAUGAUGGACACUCAGCUCACCAAGCGGGUAAAAAAUGCUGCUGCUAACGUUCUCAGGGAGACGUGGCUUAUCUACAAACACACCAGGCUAGUGAAGAAGCCAGACCACGCCCGGGUUCGUAAACACCAGCGUAAGUUCCUCCAAGCCAUCCAUCAGUAAGUCCAGCACCUUUCCCACUCAAGUUGCUGUGUCCCCCUGGCACAAAGGCAGCCAUGGCCCCCAGGAGGAGGCCGUAGGCCCGGCCAGGCAUCUCAGCGUGGCCUUGUCAUUGCCACUCCCAUGCUAGGUGGUCACUUGGGGCCUACAGCUUCUGUGCAGGGUGGGAUGGUGGGAUGGUCAGAGGGAGGCAGGUGAUGGGCACAGCACUCAUUCAGGACCUCUGAUAAGUCAUGCAAACCAGCCAACGUAAGUGGCAGGAAGCAUAUUUUAUUCUCUGGAAUAGCCAAAAUGACUUUACCCCUUGGACUUGGAAGCAAUUUCCCCUUUUUGCUUUGGCUGCCAGGAAGCUCAGAAUUAAAUUUAAGGCCCGAUCAUGUGAUCAUGUGGGGUAAUUAGAAAUUACUUAAUUUCCUCUGUUGUCCCAUUGUUCUGAGAAUUAUUUAAUCAAGUGGUUCUCAUCCUUGGCUACUCAUUGGAUUCACCUAGGGGGCUUUUAAAAAUCCCACAGGCCACACCCAACACCAGUUACAGUAGAGUCUGAGAUGCAGCUAAACUCAGGUUUAAGUUCCUCAGGUGAGUCCAGUGUGCAGCCAGAGUUGGCAAACUUUUUCUAUAAACAGCCAGAUAUUAAAUAUUUUAGGUUUUGUGGGCCAGAAGGUCUCUGUCACAACCAUUCAACCCUACUGUUGUAGUGGGAAGGCAGCAAAGAUGAAUGGGUGUGACUGUGCUCCAGUGAGACUUUAUUUUCCAACACAGGCCGCUGUCCAGCUUUGGCCUGUAGACCAUGAUAUGUCCAUUGCUGUCCACUGGAAAUACCAUGUGAGCCACAUAUAUGAUUUUAAAUUUUCUAGUAGCCACAUUUAAAAAAAGUGAAAAGAAACAAGUGAAAUAAAUUUUAAUAUAUUUAAUCUAAUAUAUCCCAAAUAUCAUCAUUUUACGUGGGUAGUAAUCAUCAUUUAUGUGAGUAAUGUAAACAUCAUCAAUGAGAUAUUUUAGAAAGGUUUUGUACUCAAUCCUCAAAGUUCACUGUCUAUGUCACACGUCUAGCCUGUUUUACGCAGACUAGCCACAUUUCAAAUGCUCGGCAGCCAUAUGGGCAGCACCCUGCCUAGAAUUUAAAUAGCUCCAAAUUCUCUGGAGUGGGGCACUCAAAUAUAAAUUACAGUUGAGUCGCGUGGUACCCAAUUUAAAAUAGUAAAAACAUGUUUUAAGGCACUUUUCAGAAUGAGCCCAUAGCUUCCCAACUCUCACAUCCUGGGCAACCCCAUUCACAACUGGGCGCCCUACACGAGUCAGAUGGAUCCCUGCCCCAAGAACCCCCAGGCCAGACUCAGGGGCCGAUGAGUCAGAGAGCGAGGCAAAUGGUGUUAGGGUCUGACUAGCAGGAAGGCAGCUGUGUCAGCCGUGGGAACAGAGGUGGAGGCAGCACAGAGAACCCCAGUGUGAGCAGUGGAGCAGGGCGGUGGGCUGGCAGGAGACCCCAGCAUGUGUCUGGGGAACCCUGGCGCCUGGGGCACCAGAGGGUAAAUGAGUGUGACCAUGGAGAGACCAGGCCAUGGGACAGGAAGCUCAACCAACUGGACUUUAAUUUUUUAAUCUUGUUUAAUCAUUUUUGCCUCUUUGAGAAAAAGCUUUAUUGACAUACAGUCAACUGCACCUAUUUAAAGUGUACAAAUUGAUCAGAUAUGGACACACCCAUGAAACUAUCACCACAGUUAAGAUAAUGAACAGAUUCAUCACCCCAAAAGUUUCCUUGUGCCCCUUACAUCCUUGUCUUUUAGCUAAAGUUUAGUCCAUUUACAUUUAUUGUGUUUACUGUACCAUCCUUGUCUUCUAACUAGGCAGUUUAGUCCAUUUAUGUUUACUGUGUUAACUGUUAGAAUUGGGCUGAUUUCUAACGCUAACAGUCCCUACUUCACAGGACUGUGGGGAGGCCCAAGUGGGAUGAUGUGCAGAAAUGCCCGGCACAGUCCCUGCACAGAGCAGGGGCUUGGUAUCGCAGGGACCCCCCAACCCCUGCUCCCUGCCUCUGCUUCACUGUCACUUAACAAGCAGGGAGAGGGGCUGGUGCCCCACUCACUCGACUUCUCUGUGCCCAGGUGUUAGUCCUCGUCCUCAUGAGACCCCAAGGCCCUUGAGGAACCCUCCUUUUGACCCUUCCGCAGUUGUUAGCUGAACACUGGGUCCCAGGUUGAUCUCUGCCACCUAAGUGGGCAAGUGACUGUGCUGGUCUAAGCUUCAUUGUCUCAUCUGUAAAGUGGGGGUGACGGUAAUGCAUCUUCUGUAGGAGGAGGACGUGGGGCAAACACGACUGAGUGACCAGAUGACUCGCUUGUGCCUGCCUGUCACACAGUAUUUUCUAAAACCAGGAACUGCCCUGGUUGCUGUCACCACCCUCAACAUAUUCAUUCGGUCAUUCCACAAGCAUUUCUUGCACCAGCUGGUGUCCCAGGCAUGGGGGACACAGACAUGGCCCUGCCCUGGACCUUGCUCCAAGGGAUGUUCCAGAAGGUUCUUUGGGGGAAGUGGGGGGGUGAGAACUGAAGGAGAGCCAGGUCUGGGGAGAAUGCACCUGCUCUGUGAGUUACCCGUCCCUUUGUUCUGGAGCAGGACUGUCUCCCUCACCCUUAGGUUCCCCUGCACUACCACCCUCAAAAAAGUGACUCUGCUGAAAUCAGGCAAGUUUGAACUAGGGCCUGAAGGGUGGAUAGGAUUUGGGUAGGAAGCUGAGUGGGCAGGCAUACCAAGGAGUGUCCACAGCCUGGGCAAAGGUGGGGAGGCGGGAAUGCGCAUCGUGCCAGGGAGACUGCAGGCACGAGGGAGCCAUGGCACGGUCUUGAGCUGGAGAGAGUCCCCAUGAUGGGAGCAUCCUAUGAACACCAGUGAAAAGGAAGAAAUGGUGGCAGAGAGAACGGAUCCAGGAGCACAGCAUGGGUUGGGGGAGUGUCUGCAUUUCCUAGGGUUGCUCUAGCAAAGGACCACAAACUACGUGGUUUAAAACAACAGAAUCUGUCUCACAGUGCUAGAGGCGGAAGUCCAAACCCAAGCUGUCAGCAGUGUCCUUGUCCCUCGGAAGGUGCUCGGGGCCGGGGUUCUGCCCAGGCCUCUGCCUGGCUUCCGGCGGCUCAGGCGUUCCGGCCCGUAGACGCCUCGCUUCAGUCCCCCAUCUUCACACGGCCUCCUCUCCACGGCUGCACAUCGUCCUCCCCCUGUGUGCGGCUGUCCACGUUCCCGCCUUCUCAUAAGGACGCCCGUCAGUGGAUUAGAGCCCCCACUGACCUCGUCUUCGCCUGGUUAGAUCUGCAAAGACCCUAUUUCCAAAUAAGGCCGCAUUGUGAGGCUCCGGAGUGUGAAGAUUGAACAAGGGAAGCUGAACAACCAGGCCAACACGCUCGCCGACCUGGCCA